rnacentral:pre_miRNA from 1 species
GAUCCCUGAGCAGGGGUUGCUCUUGGUGAAUUCGCUUUAUUCUUGUUGAAUCACACAAAGGUAACUUUGGUUUGCAUAUC